CGCAACAUGGCCAGCUUUGCGGUCCAUUAUUACUUUUGGUACGCGCUAUGCCACUCUCAACUCGUACCGUGAGUAAUAAUGCACUGCGACUGGUGCCGACUCCG
ensembl:miRNA mir126 microRNA mir-126